UGGUCAAUGGACGAGAGUCUGAACCAGCCAAGUCGCGUGAGGGAAGACUGCCCUAUGGGUUGUAAACCUCUUUUAUAAGGGAAGAAUAAGUUCUACGUGUAGAAUGAUGCCUGUACCUUAUGAAUAAGCAUCGGCUAACUCCGUGCCAGCAGCCGCGGUAAUACGGAGGAUGCGAGCGUUAUCCGGAUUUAUUGGGUUUAAAGGGUGCGUAGGCGGUUUAUUAAGUUAGUGGUUAAAUAUUUGAGCUAAACUCAAUUGUGCCAUUAAUACUGGUAAACUGGAGUACAGACGAGGUAGGCGGAAUAAGUUAAGUAGCGGUGAAAUGCAUAGAUAUAACUUAGAACUCCGAUAGCGAAGGCAGCUUACCAGACUGUAACUGACGCUGAUGCACGAGAGCGUGGGUAGCGAACAGGAUUAGAUACCCUGGUAGUCCACGCCGUAAACGAUGCUCACUGGUUCUGUGCGAUAUAUUGUACGGGAUUAAGCGAAAGUAUUAAGUGAGCCACCUGGGGAGUACGUCGGCAACGAUGAAACUCAAAGGAAUUGACGGGGGCCCGCACAAGCGGAGGAACAUGUGGUUUAAUUCGAUGAUACGCGAGGAACCUUACCUGGGUUUAAAUGGGAAAUGUCGUAUUUGGAAACAGAUAUUCUCUUCGGAGCGUUUUUCAAGGUGCUGCAUGGUUGUCGUCAGCUCGUGCCGUGAGGUGUCGGGUUAAGUCCCAUAACGAGCGCAACCCUUACCGUUAGUUGCUAGCAUGUAAUGAUGAGCACUCUAACGGGACUGCCACCGUAAGGUGAGAGGAAGGCGGGGAUGACGUCAAAUCAGCACGGCCCUUACACCCAGGGCUACACACGUGUUACAAUGGCCGGUACAGAGGGCCGCUACCAGGUGACUGGAUGCCAAUCUCAAAAGCCGGUCGUAGUUCGGAUUGGAGUCUGUAACCCGACUCCAUGAAGUUGGAUUCGCUAGUAAUCGCGCAUCAGCCAUGGCGCGGUGAAUACGUUCCCGGGCCUUGUACACACCGCCCGUCAAGCCAUGGAAGCCGGGGGUGCCUGAAGUCCGUAACCGCGAGGAUCGGCCUAGGGCAAAACUGGUAACUGGGGCUAAGUCGUAACAAGGUAGCCGUACCGGAA
rnacentral:rRNA from 1 species